rnacentral:rRNA from 1 species
CGUAGGGUCCAAGCGUUAUCCGGAAUCACUGGGCGUAAAGCGUGCGUAGGUGGCGCGUUAAGUGAGAUGUGAAACCGUGUGGCCCAACCAUAUCGUUGCAUCUCAUACUGGCGUGCUAGAGGACAGCAGAGGCAAGUGGAAUUAGUAGUGUAGCAGUGAAAUGCGUAGAUAUUACUAGGAACACCAAUGGCGAAGGCAGCUUGCUGGGCUACUCCUGACACUGAGGUACGAAAGCGUGGGGAGCGAACAGGAUUAGAUACCCUGGUAGUCCACGCCGUAAACGAUGCAUACUAGUCUUAUGGGGUAUCGACCCCCUGUGAGACGCAGCUAACGCGAUAAGUAUGCCGCCUGGGAAGUACGGCCGCAAGGCUA